CCUUUUGUUUUUGUUUUGAUGACUCGCAAAACGGAGCUGUGUUAUCAGCACUUAUUUACAUAUAUAGACUCGAACAUUUGCUGCCUUAAAGGAGCAUCCUUUAUAUCAGAUUACGAAAAGGCAAUGCGUAACGCGUUAAAAGGUCUGCAUCCCAACAUGAAUUUUUACGCCUGUUGGUUUCAUUUUACUCAAGCAUGCAAGAAAAAUGCCAAGCAAUCGAGUGGUUUUGAAAAGGCGAAGCAAUAAACUUAAAUAAGAAGCUGUUUUCUCCAUUUUUAAAAUACUUUAAUAGACAGUGGCUUAAAAAGGAGGGACCAAAAAGCAUAUCCGUGUUUAAGAGGUCAACUAGAACCACGAGCUCAGUAGAAGCUUAUAAUUUGAAUUUGGGAAAUAAAAUUCGAGCAAAUGGCAAUAAAUUUUUUGUAAAUUUGUUCAAUGUCUUAUUGAUGCAGAAAAUGAAAAAAGUCGCGAGUUUGCUUUACUCUUUCAAAAUGGUGGUAAUGGAAAUCAGACACAGAAGAAGAAAUUACGUGAUCGCUCAAAAAAAAAUAAUGGACGCAAUGGAUCUUUUUUAAAGAGGUGAAAUAGAUAUACAGGGAUUUCUGACAUGCACUGUUUCCUUAGCUGACCGCUUUUCAAAGCAGGACUUCUUUGAAGGGGUGGACAAUGAAAGCAAUUUAACUGGAAUGUCUUCUGAUAUGAAAUCUUCCACAUCGUCACUUUCAUCGAAUGCUUCUCAUUCAAGUCAGUCCUCUGAUAAAUCAUUGGUUCAAAUGAAUCCAUGCAAUGUGUGCCUAUGUAACCCAAAGUCUGUGUUGAUGCGCCCGUGCAAUCACGUAAACAUUUGUGGUACAUGUUGGGAUCAAAUUGUGGCCCACAACCAAGCAAAAAAAGAGUUGGAAGAAAAUGAAAAUAUAAAGCCAAAAUGUCCAAGUUGCAACCGAGAAGUCGAAGAGGCCAUACGCAAUGUUUUUAUUUACAAUUAACUUGUGUAAGUUAAGAACGACAAAAUUUAAGAAAACUUCUAUUAUGAUUUCUGUGUAUUUGGACUAUUGCACAUUUUUUAAUUUCAAUAAAAUCAUGUUAUAAAAUGAAAUGCUGUCAAAAAAAUAUAAGUGUAUUUUACAUGCGAAA